rnacentral:rRNA from 1 species
CAAUAGCGUAUAUUAACGUUGUUGCAGUUAAAAAGCUCGUAGUUGGAUUUCUGGAGGGAGCGUCGGCCCGUAUUUACGCGUGCGUGACGUCUCUGUCCAUCCUUGCGGGAAGGCACGGCAUUGAUUUGUUGUGUCGGAUCGCAUCAUUUACUGUGAAAAAAUUAGAGUGUUCAAAGCAGGCUUUCGCUUGAAUACAUUAGCAUGGAAUAAUAAGAUAGGACUUUGGUGCUAUUUUGUUGGUUGAGCCUAAAGUAAUGAUUAAUAGGGAUAGUUGGGGGCACCUGUAUUGCGUUGUCAGAGGUGAAAUUCUUGGAUUUACGCAAGACAAACAGCUGCGAAAGCGUCUGCCAAGGAUGUUUUCAUUAA